UACGGAGGAUGCAAGCGUUAUCCGGAAUGAUUGGGCGUAAAGCGUCCGCAGGUGGCUAUGUAAGUCUGCUGUUAAAGAGUCUGGCUCAACCAGAUAAAGGCAGUGGAAACUACAUGGCUAGAGUGCGUUCGGGGCAGAGGGAAUUCCUGGUGUAGCGGUGAAAUGCGUAGAGGUCAGGAAGAACACCGGUGGCGAAAGCGCUCUGCUAGGCCGCAACUGACACUGAGGGACGAAAGCUAGGGGAGCGAAUGGG
rnacentral:rRNA from 1 species